CUGAUUAGGCUUUUGCUGUAGACUUCCUUUAAUUUGACUUUCCUUCAUUUUGCAUUGAUGGCAUUUUUAGAUACUAAUAUGGAGUAACAGAAAAACUGAGCUCUUAACCAAAUUCCUGGACUGUUGGGAUUAUCUGAUUCUCCAAACCUCCCAGUAUUUCUGUUUCCAAGGCAGAGAGGAAGACCAGCAAAUGGACAGAUGGCAGGUGCAAGUCCUGAGUGUGCAUGACCCAUCCGUCGCCCCAGGCUUCCUGUUUCCUUCCAGACAACUUUUGUGGUGCAGUGAGGAUCUGAAUAGGAAAGUGAAACAAGGACAGAGAAGGCAUAUUUGCCAACUGAGAAAUCCUUCCACUGCGUCAGUCUGAAGAGACGUCGGGUCACACCUGUCAAACCUGCUGUACAAAUGUCCAGAGAAGCCCUCAUCAGAGAAACUAUUUCCAAAACUUCACAUAUAUUUGGAUAUCUUAGUCUUAUGAAGAAACUUUUGUUCACUGAGAGAUGUUAACUGUUAUACAUGGCCCAUUCAUUUUGUGAUAUUUUCUCAGCUGUACAUUUUAAUUGUUCUUCAAAAGCCUCUAAUGCAUGAACAGUUCAGUGUUGACUGGGAUAUGUGUCACAC